CCCCCCACCCUCCACGCAAACAGCAACGCUGGGCAGGCGAAAACCAAGGGAGUGGGAAUCAGCAGCACUUUGGCCUGGAGGGAGAAGGGAAGCCACGGUGGAGAGACAGCUUGGUGAAAGCAGAUGGCGGGGCAGGGCCAGGGCUGGUCCUCAGCCUGUGUCUGCACCCACCCUCCCGGGCAGCUUGGGCCCAACUGCUCCGCCCCCCCAAGAUGGAGGGGGAGAGCUGGCCUCUGGCACCCACAUGCAGGCCUCUGCCACGAGGAAAGGAAGGAGGCCAGGAAGACGGCUGGGCCCCAACUCUCCUCACAGGUGGCAGGGAGGGAACCUGUUCAUUCCAGGAAGGACCAAAAGAAAGAAUCCCCAGUGAACACCGGCAGGGUCCCUCUCCCUUACCCUACCAGCUUCUCCAGGUGACUGCAGCCCAAACCCAGGGAUAAUCUGGGUUUUAAAUGCCAGGACACUUUGCCUGUAGGGACACGUGUUGUGACACGAGGCUCUUCCUAAGUCAGGAGCUAGUAUAAGCCCAGCCUGCUGGGGGUUCCGGAGGCCCCAGGUCUAGAGGUGUGGAGGG
rnacentral:lncRNA from 1 species